rnacentral:rRNA from 1 species
AUUGAACGCUGGCGGCAGGCCUAACACAUGCAAGUCGAACGGUAACAGGAAGCAGCUUGCUUCUUUGCUGACGAGUGGCGGACGGGUGAGUAAUGUCUGGCAAACUGCCUGAUGGAGGGGGAUCCCUACUGGAAACGGUAGCUAAUACCGCCUAACGUCGCCAGACCAAAGAGGGGGACCUUCGGGCCCCUUGCCAUCUCAUGUGCCCAGAUGGGAUUAGCUAGUAGGUGGGGUAACGGCUCACCUAGGCGACGAUCCCUAGCUGGUCUGAGAGGAUGACCAGCCACACUGGAACUGAGACACGGUCCAGACUCCUACGGGAGGCAGCAGUGGGGAAUAUUGCACAAUGGGCGCAAGCCUGAUGCAGCCAUGCCGCGUGUAGGAAGAAGGCCUUCGGGUUGUAAAGUACUUUCAGCGGGGAGGAAGGGAGGAAAGUUAAUACCUUUGCUCAUUGACGUUACCCGCAGAAGAAGCACCGGCUAACUCCGUG